AUUGUAUACUUAUUGAAAAGAUAGCGCCUUUGGAGUGGAGAAUUCUGGAUCUGGCCUGGCAUACUUAUGCUCUAUUGUUUAAAUGUACCUGUUCCCCGUCAACUGCUAGUAGCAACUUAAGGGUCGAUUGGAUUUGUUUUUGCUUCCCCGAACUAAUAUGGCACAGAUAGUUGCACUACUUCCAGAGAUGUUAAGAUUGGUUAGGGGUUUCAGAGGAUGUUAACCAAACCACCAUAAUUCAUUUCCCCGGGAGCCUUUCACAUAAUGUAGUUAUCUGUCAGGGAUUUCGUUUGUUUGUUUUUGUGGAAGCAGGUCCUCAUGCACAUACAAUCUCACUAUUCUGGGCAACUUGGCUUCUUACAGGCUGCUGUGCUUUCAC